UACAGAGGGUGCAAGCGUUAAUCGGAAUUACUGGGCGUAAAGCGCGCGUAGGCGGCUGAUUAAGUCGGAUGUGAAAUCCCCGGGCUCAACCUGGGAACUGCAUACGAUACUGAUCGGCUAGAGUAUGAGAGAGGGAGGUAGAAUUCCACGUGUAGCGGUGAAAUGCGUAGAUAUGUGGAGGAAUACCGGUGGCGAAGGCGGCCUCCUGGCUUAAUACUGACGCUGAGGUGCGAAAGCGUGGGGAGCAAACAGG
rnacentral:rRNA from 1 species